rnacentral:rRNA from 1 species
AGCAUAUCAAUAAGCGGAGGAAAAGAAACUAACAAGGAUUCCCCUAGUAACUGCGAGUGAAGCGGGAAAAGCUCAAAUUUAAAAUCUGUCAGUCUUUGGCUGUCCGAGUUGUAAUCUAGAGAAGUGUUAUCCGCGCUGGACCGUGUACAAGUCUCCUGGAAUGGAGCGUCAUAGAGGGUGAGAAUCCCGUCUUUGACACGGACUGCCAGGGCUUUGUGAUGCGCUCUCAAAGAGUCGAGUUGUUUGGGAAUGCAGCUCAAAAUGGGUGGUAAAUUCCAUCUAAAGCUAAAUAUUGGCGAGAGACCGAUAGCGAACAAGUACCGUGAGGGAAAGAUGAAAAGAACUUUGGAAAGAGAGUUAAACAGUACGUGAAAUUGCUGAAAGGGAAACGCUUGAAGUCAGUCGCGUUGUCCAGGGAUCAACCUUGCUUUUGCUUGGUGUACUUUCUGGUUGACGGGUCAGCAUCAAUUUUGACUAUUGGAAAAAGAUUAAGGGAAUGUGGCAUCUUUGGAUGUGUUAUAGCCCUUGGUUGCAUACAAUGGUUGGGAUUGAGGAACUCAGCACGCCGCAAGGCCGGGUUUAUUUUUAAACCACGUACGUGCUUAGGAUGCUGGCAUAAUGGCUUUAAUCGACCCGUCUUGAAACACGGACCAAGGAGUCUAACAUGCCUGCGAGUGUUUGGGUGGAAAACCCGAGCGCGUAAUGAAAGUGAAAGUUGAGAUCCCUGUCGUGGGGAGCAUCGACGCCCGGACCAGACCUUUUGUGACGGUUCCGCGGUAGAGCAUGUAUGUUGGGACCCGAAAGAUGGUGAACUAUGCCUGAAUAGGGUGAAGCCAGAGGAAACUCUGGUGGAGGCUCGUAGCGAUUCUGACGUGCAAAUCGAUCGUCAAAUUUGGGUAUAGGGGCGAAAGACUAAUCGAACCAUCUAGUAGCUGGUUCCUGC